GUGAACGCUGGCGGUAGGCCUAACACAUGCAAGUCGAACGGCAGCACAGUAAGAGCUUGCUCUUACGGGUGGCGAGUGGCGGACGGGUGAGGAAUACAUCGGAAUCUACUUUUUCGUGGGGGAUAACGUAGGGAAACUUACGCUAAUACCGCAUACGACCUACGGGUGAAAGCAGGGGAUCUUCGGACCUUGCGCGAUUGAAUGAGCCGAUGUCGGAUUAGCUAGUUGGCGGGGUAAAGGCCCACCAAGGCGACGAUCCGUAGCUGGUCUGAGAGGAUGAUCAGCCACACUGGAACUGAGACACGGUCCAGACUCCUACGGGAGGCAGCAGUGGGGAAUAUUGGACAAUGGGCGCAAGCCUGAUCCAGCUAUACCGCGUGGGUGAAGAAGGCCUUCGGGUUGUAAAGCCCUUUUGUUGGGAAAGAAAAGCAGCAGGUUAAUACCCCGCUGUUCUGACGGUACCCAAAGAAUAAGCACCGGCUAACUUCGUG
rnacentral:rRNA from 1 species